rnacentral:rRNA from 1 species
UUUUGUGGGGUGCUCGAGUGGCGAACGGGUGAGUAACACGUGAGUAACCUGCCCUUGACUUUGGGAUAACUUCAGGAAACUGGGGCUAAUACCGGAUAGGAGCUCCUGCUGCAUGGUGGGGGUUGGAAAGUUUCGGCGGUUGGGGGUGGACUCGCGGCUUAUCAGCUUGUUGGUGGGGUAGUGGCUUACCAAGGCUUUGACGGGUAGCCGGCCUGAGAGGGUGACCGGCCACAUUGGGACUGAGAUACGGCCCAG